rnacentral:rRNA from 1 species
AUUAAACGCUGGCGGCAUGCCUUACACAUGCAAGUCGAACGGCAGCACGGGGCAACCUUGGUGGCGAGUGGCGAACGGUGAGUAAAGCAUCGGAACGUGCCCUGGAGUGGGGGAUAACGUAGCGAAAGUUACGCUAAUACCGCAUAUUCUGUGAGCAGGAAAGCAGGGGAUCGCAAGAACCUUGCGCUCUGGGAGCGGCCGAUGUCGGAUUAGCUAGUUGGUGGGGUAAAGGCCUACCAAGGCGACGAUCCGUAGCGGGUCUGAGAGGAUGAUCCGCCACACUGGGACUGAGGCACGGCCCAGACUCCUACGGGAGGCAGCAGUGGGGAAUUUUGGACAAUGGGCGAAAGCCUGAUCCAGCCAUGCCGCGUGAGUGAAGAAGGCC